UCAAAUUGAUCAGAAGAAAAUACUCAAUUACUGACAAAUGUCAAUUACAUCAAUAGGAGGAGAAAAUGUGUAAUUGUAAGCAGCUGAACUAAAAUAUCUCUGUGACAUUUUGCUGGUGACUCCAGCCCUGUGAGAUCUGAGUGGCUCAGGAAUCAAAUUCUCCCACAAAGCUGAGGAAGCCUUUUAUUCUUAAUGCCAACAGGAUGCCUCAUGCCCAGAAUGUCAAAUCUGAACACCGACGGAAUGCAUUUUAUAAACAAAUUGAAGAAGCACAAUCUUUAACAGAAUUGUUGUUCUCUAGGCAGAUUAGUUUGGCUUCAAAUACAAAAUGCAAUAUUA
rnacentral:lncRNA from 1 species